UCUGUCUGUGAUGAACAAGUGGAUCGAGUUUUCCAACAAUGAGAAUACUUCACAUGCACUACCAUCUGAGACAUG